rnacentral:lncRNA from 1 species
UUUCCUGUUCUGGGAAAUGCAUAGAUUGUACAAUAGGAUCAGUUAUUAGCAGCAGCAGUAAAAGAAAGAAACGGGGCGGAUUUGCCAUUAAGGGGUAGUUAGUCACAGUUUUGUCGAGUUAUGUAAUUGCUCUUGGGAAAUGAUGGUGUUUUGACAAUGUAAUAUUAUUAGUUCAGUAUUUAAUUUGGGAUGGUGUUCAGAACAUGUUGAAAUGGUUUGGGAGUAAUGAAACAGUGUCAUUUUUGUUAUGGCAGGAGUGCUGCAACUGAUCAUCCAAGCUGGCUUGUUUAGAAGUAGAAGAAGAAGAAAGAAAACAAUAUUCUUACAACACGUUUAUUUUUCUAAAAGGAACACUUUAAUUCCGAAAAAUUACUAGAGUUACCUUGACAAGAUGAAUACGACUCGUUAACUUUAGCCAGCAAAAGAAAGGAAAAGGAGAAGAAAAAAGAAAAGCCCUGAACUUGCGGCCACCGAUUCAACAGUUGCAUUCCGCCUGCAUGACAAAGAGGCUUUUAAGCCAAAUUGGAAGAGUCAGACUGGUUUAAAGAAUAAGGGGAAUCACUGCUAGGUUGAGCUGUGAAUUUCAACACGCCUCCCUCGUUCGUUUGUAAAUAAAUAAAAAGAGAGAGAGAGAGAGAGAGAGAGAGAGAGAGAGAGAGGCCUUACAGUCCG